CAGACCUUCCUUUAACGCCACAGUGUUGAACAAGUUUGGAAACCUGUCUCUCGUGUGAAGCUCUGGAUGAGCUUAGCAUGUUACCUGCCUGCCUACCCUAGAGAGCUAAACCUGAAGAUCUCACUCUGGAAUCCACCUGCUGCUCUCAGGGAAAGAGCUUAUCACUCAAACCAAGGUCUGACACUAAAAAGUCAGAAGCUAGACGCUGCUGCUGCUGAGCACUCUGCUGAACCAACAAUCUCUGGACCCAACCAGUUCCCUCUCUCAGAGAAAGCCUGGACCUUGUCAAGACGCCUGAGAAUCCUGCCCGGACCUGUUUCCUGAAUCCAGUUCAUGUUUACUUUGUGCAAACCUUUAAUAAACUCUGUUGAACUUUUUAUCAGUCUCCAAGUGGUGUUCUGCAUGUGGGUUUGAUUCCCAAACCAACCAUGACAACACCAUUCUCUGCAGGGUAUGGUUUGUAGACCAGACAUUGCUUCUUCCCAUAACAAAUCAGAUUCUUUCUCAAGGUUUAUUCAUAACAUGUUUAAGCACUGAUUAACCAAAGUGUCUGUAAUUUGUUUUGACUCUUACUACUUUUCCAUUGUUGUAAGUAAGGAGGAAUGAACGCUGCUCAUGCAGAAAAGGGCAUAAUGCUGUGCCUGUAUGAUGAACUGUUCUCUAU